rnacentral:rRNA from 1 species
AACGAACGCUGGCGGCAUGCCUAACACAUGCAAGUCGAACGAGACCUUCGGGUCUAGUGGCGCACGGGUGCGUAACGCGUGGGAACCUGCCCUUAGGUUCGGAAUAACUCCCCGAAAGGGGUGCUAAUACCGGAUAAUGUCUUCGGACCAAAGAUUUAUCGCCUUUGGAUGGGCCCGCGUUGGAUUAGCUAGUUGGUAGGGUAAAAGCCUACCAAGGCGACGAUCCAUAGCUGGUCGGAGAGGAGGAUCAGCCACACUGGGACUGCGACACGGCCCAGACUCCUACGGGAGGCAGCAGUGGGGAAUAUUGGACGAUGGGCGAAAGCCUGAUCCAGCAAUGCCGCGGGAGUGAUGAAGGCCUUAGGGUUGUAAAGCUCUUUUACCCGGGAUGAUAAUGACAGUACCGGGAGAAUAAGCUCCGGCUAACUCCGUG